rnacentral:sRNA from 1 species
AGAACAGUUUACAGUACGAAUGACCAACAUUCUAAAAUAGGACAUACGGAUUAACAACAACGGAAUUUUGAAUUACCACGAAAUAUAAUGAUUCAUCUGAUUGAAUAAUGACCGAAAUAUUGGAUAUCGUGUGUGAAAGGGAAGAACAGAAUUAUACAUGUAUAUAUAUAUAUAUAUAUGGAUGCCGAUGGUGGGAUAAAUGAAGAAAGAAAAAAAGAAAUAGACAACAAAUGAAGUCGGCCUAGUUAUGAACGCUGUGUUGGUUUACACAUAAAAUCCCUGUGGCACCACCUCCAUCUAGAAGCCUGAGGAGGAAAGACACACUAUGCGUAUGUCGAUAAUUCGAGAACUCUUUAAAACAUGACCAGAGAGUAGUAUUGGUGAUUUUCUAAGGGAUAAUAAUCAACGAAUUAUUGAAAUGAUGAAUAGUGACGGUGACUAGUUCAUUUACAACACCUACCAUCGGUGGAAAUCCUUCUAAGUUGCACCUAGGAGUUAGUGAUGAUAAUUUUUGCUUUUAUCUUUUAUAAUAUAAUUCUUUUCUGUCAUUGAUAAUCCCGUUAAAAAGGAAAACGUAUUUUGACCCACAGAAAGAGCAGACUCCGACAAAUCUAUAUUUUUAUUUGACUGAUAAACAAAGUGUUUUUGAGGGAUUUUAUUUUUGUGUGUGUGCAUGCACCAGCUAUGUAAUCUAUUUUGGAUAAUAAGUCACCGUAGAUCCACCAAGUAUGUAAAUCUAAAGUGAAAGUGCUUGUUUUGGUGAGUCCAACAAGGUAAAUUCAUUUCACUAGUCUGCAUCAGCGAAAACUAAAAAUAUGUUAAUGUGAUCUUUCUGGUGGAUUCACCAACUUUCUUGUCUUGUAUAGAAGCAAAAAAUUUCAUCUUUUUUGGUUGCCAAACCUGCUCUAUUUAACACAGCGAUUUAUUAACAGCUUUUAAUCUUUUAAAAAUUCUUGGUGAGUCCACCAAUUUGGAACUCUAGUUUCAUUUCACAUUUCGCACAAUUUUAUAUUGGUGGAUCCACCAAGUAUUGAAAUAGCGACAGCAUUUACAAUUUUGACAAGUUCCUAAAAUUUGUUCAGUGUAGUAUCUAUAUAUUGACAUAUUAUUGACAUACCGUUAUUAGAAAAUUUUACCUCUUUGACUUUUGGUGGAAUCACCAAACAAUGUUUGCAAAAUGCUUUGUUGGUGGGUUCACCAAUUCUUUGAAUGAAAUACAAAACUGUAUACAGACAAAUUCACAAUUGAUUUUUGGUGGAACUACCAGGGGCCUGUGUGAAUGAGAUAUUUUAUGCUUUUCAAAAUAAUAGAAUCGCCAAUAUCUUAUUACUGGUGGACCCACCAAGUUUAUUUGAAAGUGAGAUAGUCGAUGAAUAAAAUUGGUGGAAUCACCAGGGUCCUGUGAAUUUGAUAUAUUUGAUGCUGUUUUAAAUAACGGAAUCGCCAUUAUCUUCUUAUUGGUGGACCCACCAAGUUUUUUCGUAAGUGAAACAAUCGAUGAAUGAAAUUGGUGGAAUCACCAAUAUUAUGACUGUCAUUGUGGAAUAUGAAGGUUUAAAGAUACUGUAAAAUGUGCUUUUGUGUAAAAAAGAUGGUGGGUUCACCAAUUUAUGUUGUGUUCAACGACCAAAAUGAAUAAAAUUCAUGUUCAUUUCUGUU